AAUCAACGCUGGCGGCGUGCCUAACACAUGCAAGUCGAACGCGAAAGCCCCGCAAGGGGUAAGUAGAGUGGCAAACGGGUGAGUAACACGUGGGUGACCUGCCUUCGAGUGGGGGAUAACGUCCCGAAAGGGACGCUAAUACCGCACGACAUCCUGCUCUUGGACGAGCGGAGAUCAAAGCUGGGGAUCGCAAGACCUGGCGCUUGAAGAGGGGCCCGCGCCUGAUUAGCUAGNGGUGAGGUAACGGCUCACCAAGGCAACGAUCAGUAUCCGGCCUGAGAGGCGGACGGACACACUGGGACUGAGACACGGCCCAGACUCCUACGGGAGGCAGCAGUGGGGAAUUGUUCGCAAUGGGCGCAAGCCUGACGACGCAACGCCGCGUGGAGGAUGAAG
rnacentral:rRNA from 1 species